GGUCCAGUAGCUCAGUGGUUAGAGCAUGGGCAGAUAUAGCCAGGGGGUCCUUGGUCCAAUCCCAGGUUGAGUCA